rnacentral:ribozyme from 1 species
UUCCCAGCAACUCCUAUCCCUACCUCCUCGCGGUACUGGCCGGGGUACGAGUAACCAUUGGAAAGAUCGGGUAACCAACGCCGGUGGGAACUCUGGUCGUAUGCUGACAGAGAAGG